GUGUGCGUGUUGGGUGUGAAGGUGUGGAGUGACCUGAAGAACAAUACGAAGAAAAAGGCUGCUCGGAUAUUCAGAGCUGGAGCAGGAACUGGUGGUGGUCCUGCUUGUACAUUAAAAUUAAGUGACCUAGAGCAGAGGGUGCUGGCUAUAACAGGGACACGGGCAGCUACAGGCAUUGUAGAAAUUCCGGAGGUUGGCCUGGAGGUAGGGUAAUGGGUACUUCAUGCUUAAUAACAAUUUCGGCGGGGUGUGUAGCAUGGCGUCGGGCUCACAAGUAAUUUGAGCAGCGUGUACUAAGGCUGCUCCUAUACGCUUCCAUUUGUUUACUUAACAUGCAAUCCGCACACCCCGCCCCGCUGCACGCCCCACUCGAGCGUCCACUCAGGCCUUACACUUAAGGUGACAGUCCAUUUCCAACCGCAGCUGCACUACUGUUCAUUUUACUAUGGAAACUGACAGUAACAGCGACGCAUUAAGUACCAGUAGUGCAGCUGCAGUCAGAAAUGGAAUGUUACCCUAAGGAUAAAAUAAAAAGUAAGAACUCCCAUACUUAAUCCCCUACACAGAGAAUGCUGUCCUAUGGGAGUUUGUUAUUCUUUAUUUAGGGCCAGUUGCACCAACCACAUUUGACAGACUGAUCAAAGUCAGCCGGCGCGCCCAGGCGCUUUACUAUGAAACUUUCCAUACAUAAAAAUUUAGUGAACUCUUUAACGAUACGAACAGUUUGGUGGAACCGACCCUUAAUCUUACUCUAUGGUCAUACCUAAAUUAAAAUAUUUUACAGGAAGAAGUAACUGAACUGGCUGUACUACCGACACUUGAUAAUGAUGACAGCCCAUCUAUUUUUAUACUACAUGAUGAGUUUGCUCAACAAACUUGUUCCAAUGUUGAAGAUUGGAAUCGGCCAGGGACAUCGGCUCAACCCCCAGUUUUUCCACCCUUACCUGUGGACAGGAAUAACCAAGACUUGGCGGGCAGAGAGGAGCCUGAAAUAGUUAACAGCCCAGACAGGAGUGAGGCCGGCAUGACACAGGCGCAGGAGCCUGCGACUCGGGCCGCGCGGAUGGCUGCUGGAGGCAGGCAGCACGCGCCGCAGAGUCCUACGCCCUUACCACUUACGCCACGGCGGCGGCGAACACGUCCGACGCCAACAUUCUCCUCUCGUACUCGUACCCAGACACAGUCCGAUUUGGCAAGGCAAGCCUUCGUCAGGUCUGACUGUGAAUGGCGAAAUUUCCAAAUGGAGGCAGAGCGGGAGAGGAAUAGGUUAAGAGAA